rnacentral:rRNA from 1 species
UACGUUCCCGGGCCUUGUACACACCGCCCGUCACACCACGAAAGCCGGUGGAACCAGAAGUCGAUAACCCAACCCGCAAGGGAGGGAGCCGCCCAAGGUUUGGCCGGUGAUUGGGGUG